rnacentral:tRNA from 1 species
GGGCGAGUGGCGAAAUUGGCAGACGCGCAGGAUUCAGGUUCCUGUGGGGGCAACCCCGUGGAGGUUCAAGUCCUCUCUCGCCCA